UCUCCAGACAUCUCUAGACGCCACCAGUCUUAAAUGUGCCUCAUAUCACCUUAGAAUCCAAAGAACUGAGAGGAGUAAAUGCAGUAGUUGUCUUCCCUAGAUCUCUGGGUCACAUACAGUCUUUUUGAUCCUUUCCUGAGUGAUAAAGACC
rnacentral:lncRNA from 1 species